rnacentral:tRNA from 1 species
GGCAAGAUGGCCGAGUGGUCUAAGGUACGUUGGAUCGAGACUUCACGGGCGUGGGUUCGAAUCCCACUCUUGUCA